UACGUAGGGUGCGAGCGUUAAUCGGAAUUACUGGGCGUAAAGCGUGCGCAGGCGGUUUUGUAAGCCAGAUGUGAAAUCCCCGGGCUUAACCUGGGAACUGCAUUUGUGACUGGCAAGCUAGAGUAUGGCAGAGGGGGGUAGAAUUCCACGUGUAGCAGUGAAAUGCGUAGAGAUGUGGAGGAAUACCGAUGGCGAAGGCAGCCCCCUGGGCCAAUACUGACGCUCAUGCACGAAAGCGUGGGGAGCAAACAGG
rnacentral:rRNA from 1 species